rnacentral:rRNA from 1 species
ACAUCCACAGAAGAAUCCAGAGAUGGAUUUGUGCCUUCGGGAACUGUGAGACAGGUGCUGCAUGGCUGUCGUCAGCUCGUGUUGUGAAAUGUUGGGUUAAGUCCCGCAACGAGCGCAACCCUUAUCCUUUGUUGCCAGCGGUCCGGCCGGGAACUCAAAGGAGACUGCCAGUGAUAAACUGGAGGAAGGUGGGGAUGACGUCAAGUCAUCAUGGCCCUUACGACCAGGGCUACACACGUGCUACAAUGGCGCAUACAAAGAGAAGCGACCUCGCGAGAGCAAGCGGACCUCAUAAAGUGCGUCGUAGUCCGGAUUGGAGUCUGCAACUCGACUCCAUGAAGUCGGAAUCGCUAGUAAUCGUGGAUCAGAAUGCCACGGUGAAUACGUUCCCGGGCCUUGUACACACCGCCCGUCACACCAUGGGAGUGGGUUGCAAAAGAAGUAGGUAGCUUAACCUUCGGGAGGGCGCUUACCACUUUGUGAUUCAUGACUGGGGUGAAGUCGUAACAAGGUAACCGUAGGGGAACCUGCGGU